UGACGGUACCUGACUAAGAAGCCCCGGCUAACUACGUGCCAGCAGCCGCGGUAAUACGUAGGGGGCAAGCGUUAUCCGGAUUUACUGGGUGUAAAGGGAGCGUAGGCGGGGAUGCAAGUCAGAUGUGAAAUCCAUGGGCUCAACUCAUGAACUGCAUUUGAAACUGUCGAGCUAGAGUACAGGAGAGGUAAGCGGAAUUCCUAGUGUAGCGGUGAAAUGCGUAGAUAUUAGGAGGAACACCAGUGGCGAAGGCGGCUUACUGGACUGACACUGACGCUGAGGCACGAAAGCGUGGGGAGCAAACAGGAUUAGAUACCCUG
rnacentral:rRNA from 1 species